rnacentral:rRNA from 1 species
AGCAGCCGCGGUAAUUCCAGCUCCAAUAGCGUAUAUUAAAGUUGUUGCAGUUAAAAAGCUCGUAGUUGAAUUUCGAGAUCAAAUUGUUGGUCGUGCCUUGGUACGCACUGGCAUUAUUGGUUUCUCCCUUCUGACGAACCAUGAUGUCAUUAAUUUGGUGUCUUGGGGAAUCAGGACUGUUACUUUGAAAAAUUAGAGUGUUUAAAGCAGGCUCACGCUUGAAUACAUUAGCAUGGAAUAAUGAAAUAGGACGUUUGAUUCUAUUUUGUUGGUUUCUAGGAUCGACGUAAUGAUUAAUAGGGAUAGUUGGGGGCAUUAGUAUUCAAUUGUCAGAGGUGAAAUUCUUGGAUUUAUUGAAGACUAACUACUGCGAAAGCAUUUGCCAAGGAU